GAUGAACGCUGGCGGCGUGCUUAACACAUGCAAGUCGAACGGAAAGGCCCAAGCUUGCUUGGGUACUCGAGUGGCGAACGGGUGAGUAACACGUGGGUGAUCUGCCCUGCACUUCGGGAUAAGCCUGGGAAACUGGGUCUAAUACCGGAUAGGACCACUUCUUGGAUGUUGUGGUGGAAAGUUUUUUCGGUGUGGGAUGAGCUCGCGGCCUAUCAGCUUGUUGGUGGGGUAAUGGCCUACCAAGGCGUCGACGGGUAGCCGGCCUGAGAGGGUGUACGGCCACAUUGGGACUGAGAUACGGCCCAAACUCCUACGGGAGGCAGCAGUGGGGAAUAUUGCACAAUGGGCGCAAGCCUGAUGCAGCGACGCCGCGUGGGGGAUGACGGCCUUCGGGUUGUAAACUCCUUUCGCUAGGGACGAAGCGUUUUUGUGACGGUACCUAGAGAAGAAGCACCGGCUAACUACGU
rnacentral:rRNA from 1 species